AGUGAACGCUGGCGGUAUGCCUAACACAUGCAAGUCGAACGGCAGCACAGUAAGAGCUUGCUCUUACGGGUGGCGAGUGGCGGACGGGUGAGGAAUACAUCGGAAUCUACUUUUUCGUGGGUGAUAACGUAGGGAAACUUACGCUAAUACCGCAUACGACCUACGGGUGAAAGCAGUGGAUCUUCGGACCUUUCGCGAUUGAAUGAGCCGAUGUCGGAUUAGCUAGUUGGCGGGGUAAAGGCCCACCAAGGCGACGAUCCGUAGCUGGUCUGAGAGGAUGAUCAGCCACACUGGAACUGAGACACGGUCCAGACUCCUACGGGAGGCAGCAGUGGGGAAUAUUGGACAAUGGGCGCAAGCCUGAUCCAGCCAUACCGCGUGGGUGAAGAAGGCCUUCGGGUUGUAAAGCCCUUUUGUUGGGAAAGAAAAGCAGCAGGUUAAUACCCCGCUGUUCUGACGGUACCCAAAGAAUAAGCACCGGCUAACUUCGUG
rnacentral:rRNA from 1 species